AUACGGAGGUUGCAAGCGUUGUUCGGAAUAACUGGGCGUAAAGGGAGCGCAGGCGGUCUGAUAAGUCUGAAGUGGAAGCCCGGGGCUCAACCCCGGAAGGCCUUUGGAAACUGUCAGACUUGAGUUCGUGAGAGGAGAGUGGAAUUCCAGGUGUAGCGGUGAAAUGCGUAGAUAUCUGGAGGAACAUCGAUGGCGAAGGCAACUCUCUGGCACGAUACUGACGCUGAGGUGCGAAAGCAUGGGGAGCAAACAGGAUUAGAUACCCGGGUAGUCC
rnacentral:rRNA from 1 species